rnacentral:tRNA from 1 species
GGGGAUGUGGCUCAGUGGUUGAGUGCCCCUGAGUUCAAUCCCCAGUACCAAAAUUAAUUAAUUAAUUAAAAUAAAAAAUAAAGGACUAUGGAUGUAGCUCAGAAGUAAUGCACCCCUGGGUUCAAUCCCCAGUACCCCCA